rnacentral:rRNA from 1 species
AUUGAACGCUGGCGGCAUGCCUUACACAUGCAAGUCGAACGGCAGCACGGGGGCAACCCUGGUGGCGAGUGGCGAACGGGUGAGUAAUAUAUCGGAACGUACCCUGGAGUGGGGGAUAACGUAGCGAAAGUUACGCUAAUACCGCAUACGAUCUAAGGAUGAAAGUGGGGGAUCGCAAGACCUCAUGCUCCUGGAGCGGCCGAUAUCUGAUUAGCUAGUUGGUGGGGUAAAGGCCUACCAAGGCAUCGAUCAGUAGCUGGUCUGAGAGGACGACCAGCCACACUGGGACUGAGACACGGCCCAGACUCCUACGGGAGGCAGCAGUGGGGAAUUUUGGACAAUGGGGGGCAACCCUGAUCCAGCAAUGCCGCGUGAGUGAAGAAGGCCUCGGUUGUAAG